AACGGGAAAGCUGAAAACCGAACAGAGUAAGCA
rnacentral:ncRNA from 1 species